rnacentral:misc_RNA from 1 species
GUAUUGUAUUGCGUUAAACGCGGUGCACAUUCCAUAAGACUUUGCUACGGUGUAUGUGUAAAGACGUAGAACCACAGGAGGGAGACAGGUGUCCCCCAGACCAUAGAACUACAGAGGGUGCACAGGUGUGAGUGGAUGUGUGAACAGAGCGUGCACAUGCCCCCAUGUUUGAGGACCAGCAACAGCUCAUGUUGACAACUCAGUAAUGAUCCUUCCGCAGGUUCACCUACGGAAA